ensembl:lncRNA
AGCUGAGAGGGCCUGUGGGAUGAAGCUUCAGAGCAGGCAUCAUGAUUGGGCGGUGACGUCAAGACAGAUAGCCUCACUGUCGGCUUAACUCAACAAGUACUUCGGAAAACCUGCUACAUGCCCAGCACCAGGCGGGCUCCGGAGAGCAGCGGAAGGUGUUCUCCACGCAGACCCUGUCCUCCCGGAGCAGCCACUGGUUGAGAGUGUGCAGACUCCAGGGCCCACUUCAUCCUGCUGACUGGACAGGUGGACACAGCCAGGAGGAGUGGACAAACCCUCAAAGCCCCUUCCUGCAGUCAGGGCCAAACCUUCGCCUUCUUCUUGCUGCUCUUUAAGAAGCUUUCUAAAGAAGAGGAACCUCCCGCGGUAGCAGAUGGCGGAUAAGUAGGAAUGGCAGGCUCCAUCUUGGAAAUCUGAACCAGGAGGUAACGGCUUUUGAUGUACUGUCAACAGGAAAGCCAGUCCUCACACAAUGUCAUCACUGCCUGGGACCCCGCAAGGAUGGUGACAUGGAGAGCGAGGAUGAAGAAGGACGCGAGAGAGGGUGCCCAGCCACCACUGGGUAUGGACGGGGUCUUGGUUGCUGCAUAUGGGAUCUAGUUCCCCGA